UACGUAGGGCGCAAGCGUUGUCCGGAAUUAUUGGGCGUAAAGAGCUCGUAGGCGGCCUGUCGCGUCUGCUGUGAAAUCCCGGGGCUUAACCCCGGGCGUGCAGUGGAUACGGGCUGGCUGGAGGCAGGCAGGGGAGAAUGGAAUUCCCGGUGUAGCGGUGAAAUGCGCAGAUAUCGGGAGGAACACCAAUGGCGAAGGCAGCUCGCUGGGACGGUACUGACGCUGAGGCGCGAAAGCGUGGGGAGCAAACAGG
rnacentral:rRNA from 1 species